rnacentral:rRNA from 1 species
GAGUUUGAUCAUGGCUCAGGACUAAUGCUGACGGUGUGCAUAAUACAUGCAAGUCGAACGUGCAAUAUGAAAGUAGCAAUACUUUUAUAAAGCAAGUGGCGAACGGGUGAGUAACGCGUGGAUAAUCUGCCUUAAAGACUGGAAUAACUCUCCGAAAGGAGUGCUAAUACCAGAUGUUUUAUAGUUUUCCAUGAUAAUUAUAAUAAAGGUAGCCGCAAGGCUUCUGCUUUAAGAUGAGUCCGCGUCCUAUUAGCUUGUUGGUGGGGUAAUGGCCUACCAAGGCUAUGAUGGGUAGCCGGUCUGAGAGGAUGAACGGCCACACUGGGACUGAGAUACGGCCCAGACACCUACGGGAGGCAGCAGUGGGGAAUAUUGCGCAAUGGGGGAAACCCUGACGCAGCGACGCCGCGUGAGCGAAGAAGGCCUUAGGGUUGUAAAGCUCUGUUUUAGGGGACGAAUGUUCAUAGGAGUAAUAUGCCUGUGAAAUGACGGUACCCUA